rnacentral:rRNA from 1 species
GACGAACGCUGGCGGCGUGCCUAAUACAUGCAAGUCGAGCGCAGGAAAUCGACGGAACCCUUCGGGGGGAAGUCGAUGGAAUGAGCGGCGGACGGGUGAGUAACACGUAAAGAACCUGCCCUCAGGUCUGGGAUAACCACGAGAAAUCGGGGCCAAUACCGGAUGGGUCAUCGGACCGCAUGGUCCGAGGAUGAAAGGCGCUUCGGCGUCGCCUGGGGAUGGCUUUGCGGUGCAUUAGCUAGUUGGUGGGGUAAUGGCCCACCAAGGCGACGAUGCAUAGCCGACCUGAGAGGGUGAUCGGCCACACUGGGACUGAGACACGGCCCAGACUCCCACGGGAGGCAGCAGUAGGGAAUCUUCCACAAUGGACGAAAGUCUGAUGGAGCAACGCCGCGUGAACGAUGAAGGCCUUCGGGUCGUAAAGUUCUGUUGUAAGGGAAGAACAAGUGCCGCAGGCAAUGGCGGCACCUUGACGGUACCUUGCGAGAAAGCCACGGCUAACUACGUGCCAGCCGCCGCCGUAAAAC